AGAGGUGGUCCUACCAAAGGAGCAAGACAAGAUUGAUCGUGUCUGUUCACGACAUCAACAGUCAGUCAAAUGCUUUUCUGAAUGUGAAGGACUCAAACAAGAUACUUGCACAUUGUAUUAUCCCAAAUGAGUGCGGAACCAAUUCAUGGGAAAGCUAAAUAUUGGAUUAAAGGAUAGUUAUUUGGAGCUCUUAAAAGUCAUUUACACGACACCAACAAAAAUUGGAUGAUAGCAACAUUGUUUACAAUUGGUGCUCUUACAUCUGCAAUGAGACAACCGGUUGAGGAGUCAAGCAAGAAUUCUUUCAGAUGUUAUGAAAUGCCUUGGCGACAAUGAAAAGCAAAUGCGAGAGUGCACUUUGAUUACUUUAGACUCUUGGCUUGCUGCUGGCCAUCUUGACAAAAAGGUCCCUUAUGUAACUGCUGCUCUCAAGGACACUAAGUUUGGUGGGUAAGGGCGCAACGAUCCUUUUGACUGGUUGUCAAGACAACUUUCUGGACUGUCCGAUUUUGAUUUUCCUGAUGCUAUACAUCUGCUAAAACCCUAUACAUCUGAUAAAUCAGCACAUGUUCGUAAAGCUGCUGAAGCAUGCUUUAAUGAGAAAUAUUCAGGGUUUGUGGACUCGAAAUGGCAUGUGACAAAAAAUUUGAAAAAUGUACAAGGUUCUGCUUUUGCUAUUGUUAUUGUUGUGGAACAAUUGAAACUCUAUAGGGUUUUCAGAAAACUUCGAAUCUGGUAGAUUGAUUUCAGCAGCCAUAACAUCCAAAACCAUCUCAAAGGUUGGAAAAUCAAAUGCUUAUGGUGAUCGUGCAUUUUCAUCAAG